GGGCUUGUAGCUCAGAGAAUUGGAGCACAUGGCUACGAACAAUAAUGUCGGGGGUUUCGAGUCCCUCCUCGCCCA
rnacentral:tRNA from 1 species